CUACGGGCCGCUGCAGUCGAGAAUCAUUCGCAAUGCGCGAAAGCGUGACGAUGCGACGCUGCGUGGAGGAUGAAGGCCCUCGGGUCGUAAACUCCUGUCAGGAGGGAAAAGCCGGCACUUGGUCAAUACCCUUGUGCCCCGAUGGUACCUCCAGAGGAAGCCACGGCUAACUCUGUGCCAGCAGCCGCGGUAAUACAGAGGUGGCGAGCGUUGUUCGGAUUUACUGGGCGUAAAGGGUGCGUAGGCGGCGUGCAAAGCUGGAUGUGAAAUCCCGGGGCUCAACCCCGGAACUGCAUCCGGAACUGGCAUGCUAGAGACCAGGAGGGGAGAGCAGAAUUCUAGGUGUAGCGGUGAAAUGCGUUGAUAUCUAGAAGAAUACCGGUGGCGAAGGCGGCUCUCUGGAAUGGUUCUGACGCUGAGGCACGAAAGCGUGGGGAGCAAACAGGAUUAGAUACCCUCGUAGUC
rnacentral:rRNA from 1 species